rnacentral:rRNA from 3 species
UGGGGAAUAUUGGACAAUGGGGGGAACCCUGAUCCAGCCAUGCCGCGUGUGUGAAGAAGGCCUUUUGGUUGUAAAGCACUUUAAGCGAGGAGGAGGCUACCGAGAUUAAUACUCUUGGAUAGUGGACGUUACUCGCAGAAUAAGCACCGGCUAACUCUGUG